GAGGUAUGCGAUGAGUGACCUAUGGUCGUC
rnacentral:sRNA from 1 species